UAGUCCACGCCGUAAACGUUGGGAACUAGGUGUGGGUCUCAUUCCACGAGAUCCGUGCCGCAGCUAACGCAUUAAGUUCCCCGCCUGGGGAGUACGGCCGCAAGGCUAAAACUCAAAGGAAUUGACGGGGGCCCGCACAAGCGGCGGAGCAUGUGGAUUAAUUCGAUGCAACGCGAAGAACCUUACCAAGGCUUGACAUACACCGGAAACAUUCAGAGAUGGGUGCCCCGUAAGGUCGGUGUACAGGUGGUGCAUGGUUGUCGUCAGCUCGUGUCGUGAGAUGUUGGGUUAAGUCCCGCAACGAGCGCAACCCUCGUUCCAUGUUGCCAGCAGCACUUUCGGGUGGCUGGGGACUCAUGGGAGACUGCCGGGGUCAACUCGGGAGGAAGGUGGGGAUGACGUCAAAUCAUCAUGCCCCUUAUGUCUUGGGGCUUCACACAUGCUACAAUGGCCGGGUACAAAGGGGCUGCGAUACCGC
rnacentral:rRNA from 1 species